rnacentral:rRNA from 1 species
UACGUAGGCAGCGAGCGUUGUUCGGAGUUACUGGGCGUAAAGGGUGCGUAGGCGGUCCCUUAAGUUUGGUGUGAAAUCUCCCGGCUCAACUGGGAGGGUGCGCCGGAUACUGAGGGGCUAGAGUGCGGGAGAGGAAAGUGGAAUUCCUGGUGUAGCGGUGAAAUGCGUAGAUAUCAGGAGGAACACCGGUGGUGUAAACGGCUUUCUGGACCGUAACUGACGCUGAGGCACGAAAGCGUGGGGAGCAAACAGG